rnacentral:rRNA from 1 species
AAGUGGAGCAAUCCAUGAGUAUAGUGGCGACCGGGUGAGUAACACGUGACUACCUGCCCUUGAGUGGGGGAUAACCUCGGGAAACCGGGGCUAAUACCGCAUAAUAUCGCAAGAUCAAAGGAGCAAUCCGCUUUUGGAGGGGGUCGCGGCUGAUUAGCUAGUUGGUAGGGUAAUGGCCUACCAAGGCAAAGAUCGGUAUCCGGCCUGAGAGGGCGCACGGCCACACUGGAACUGAAACACGGUCCAGACUCCUACGGGAGGCAGCAGUGGGGAAUUUUGCGCAAUGGGGGAAACCCUGACGCAGCAACGCCGCGUGGAGGAUGAAGUCCCUUGGG